CCAAACGACCGCGGUCACCGACGACGUGAACACCACCCUCUCGAUGGUGUCCACCUGGGCACAUGCUUCCACCACGUUGUGUGCGGCUCUCACCUCGACUUCGACCAUCAGCUCCUGCAUCAUACACCACGGAAAGAUCGACACAAGAGUUAUUGCACUGUUCACCAGUGACAGUUUGCCAACUUGGUGGAAGCAGAUGGUCAGAACCCGCGUUUUCACUCGAAGCUAGGCGAAGAAACAGCAGGAUUGAUGACAGGCUUGUCUUCUUCCAACUGUUCCAUGUGCACAGUGGACCAGGCGUAUCCAUGCGCGCUGUCGAUUCUUUAAAGAAGUCAAAGGGCACGCUGGGUUAUCUCAGACUCUGUGGCCGUCAUGAUCAAACAGUUGGUGCAAUCAAUACGGCCAACUCAUGACAACAAGCACGUACACUGUUCGACGAAAUGUUUCGGAAAGCCUAUGGCUUCUCGGUUCAAUGGAUACAAGUCGAUGAAGUAAGCACUUACGUCAUAGGACUCAUCCUGGGGAGGCUCGAACGUGUAGAAGAGGCCGGAGCAGCCCUUCACGGCGUCGACGAUGGUUUGGUAGUCGAAGGGGUCCGCUUGAAACAGCUUGAGCCGCCUGUUCUCGCUGCACAUCCUCUUCAGAACGCCACUCGAUUCACCUGAAGCAGCAAUCGUCGGAAUCCAGCAUACACAAAAGCACCCGACGACAACGAGGAGAAAGAACCCAAGGGCGAACUGCGAACCGUGGUGAUAAGAGGCGGCAUGAACAGUGCAUCCUCUCUGCAAAAGCCUCCUGACGAGGGAAAUGCCGAGCCGACAUGACGCGUCCAUGACACAGACGGUCUUCCUAUCCCGGUGAACGAAAGCCGGCGCCAUGACCGAGACCUUUAGAGACAAGAGCGAGCGAGAGAGAGAGAGAGAGAGAGAGAGAGGUGUGCAAGCAAGAGGAGGAGAUGGAGAAGGGUUAGAAAGGGGCCUUGGUAUAUAAAAGAAGAAGAUGAGGGAGGAGUAGUUGACAGCAGUGUGGUAAGAUAAGGCUAAGAACAUUAAUGGCGGCGGGGUCGGCGCGCCAUGGUGUCCUUCGAGCCACCGGCUUCUUCCUGGUUGCCACCGAGACAUCAAUGUGGACGAUGAGAAGGACUUCUCUUUAAUUGUAAUGCUAUUUUCUAGUGCUAGAGAUGUAUACUAAGGUUUAGUUUGUGAUCUAAGGACAUGGAGAGUAUAUAAUAGGCUUAUUAUACGUUUAUGUCUUAAGGUAUUUGGGAUUUAGUGAGAGACAAGCUUAGGUGUAUGAUAAAGAAGUCCAAUAUGGUGUCCCAUGAAGUAUGUGGUGGGCCAAAUUUUUGGAAUGUAGUCACUUGGAGCUACUUUUA